rnacentral:misc_RNA from 1 species
UCCGAUUUGUCACCGGCAGUCUCCUAUGAGUCCCCGGCAUUACCCGCUGGCAACAUGAGACAAGGGUUGCGCUCGUUGCGGGACUUAACCCAACAUCUCACGACACGAGCUGACGACAGCCAUGCACCAUCUGCACACAGGCCACAAGGGAAACCACAUCUCUGCAGUCGUCCUGUGCAUGUCAAACCCAGGUAAGGUUCUUCGCGUUGCAUCGAAUUAAACCACAUGCUCCACCGCUUGUGCGGGCCCCCGUCAAUUCCUUUGAGUUUCAGCCUUGCGGCCGCACUCCCCAGGCGGGGCACUUAAUGCGUUAGCGCCGGCACCCAGGGGGUCGCUCCCCCAGGCACCUAGUGCCCAUCGUUUACGGCGUGGACUAC